UUCCGGUUGAUCCUGCCGGACCCGACUGCUAUUUGGGUGAGGAUAAGCCAUGCGAGUUGAAUGGGAUACCUAAAGUUCCCAUGGCAAACUGCUCAGUAACACAUGAUCAACUUGCCCUAUAGAGAAAAAUAACCUCGGGAAACUGAGGAUAAUGUUUCAUAGCUGAAUUGGCUUGGAAAAGUUUUUCAGUUAAAGGGAUAAAAAAAAUGGUUUUUAUCCGCUAUAGGAUAGGAUCGUGGUCGAUUAUGGUUGUUGGUGAGGUAAUGGCUCACCAAGCCGAUAAUCGAUAGGGGCCGUGGGAGCGGGAGCCCCGAGAUGGGUACUGAGACAACGACCCAGGCCUUACGAGGCGCAGCAGGCGCGAAACCUCCGCAAUACACGAAAGUGUGACGGGGUUACCCAAAGUGUUCAAUUUUGAACUGUGGUAGGUGAGUAAUGUUCCCUACUAGAAAGGAGAGGGCAAGGCUGGUGCCAGCCGCCGCGGUAAAACCAGCUCUUCAAGUGGUCGGGAUAAUUAUUGGGCUUAAAGUGUCCGUAGCCGGUUUAGUAAGUUCCUGGUAAAAUCGGGUAGCUUAACUAUCUAUAUGCUAGGAAUACUACUAUACUAGAGGGCGGGAGAGGUCUGAGGUACUACAGGGGUAGGGGUGAAAUCUUAUAAUCCUUGUAGGACCACCAGUGGCGAAGGCGUCAGACUGGAACGCGCCUGACGGUGAGGGACGAAAGCCAGGGGAGCGAACCGGAUUAGAUACCCGGGUAGUCCUGGCCGUAAACGAUGCAUACUAGGUGAUGGCACGGCCAUGAGCCAUGUCAGUGCCGUAGGGAAACCGUUAAGUGUGCCGCCUGGGAAGUACGGUCGCAAGGCU
rnacentral:rRNA from 1 species